rnacentral:sRNA from 1 species
GUCCUCGACCUGCUGGGGACAGAUCAGGUGGACGUGGGCGUCCAUGCCGCCAGCAGUGACGAUGCGCCCUUCGGCCGCGAUGAUCUCGGUGCCCGGUCCGAUCACAAGGGUCACCCCGGGCUGGGUGUCGGGGUUGCCGGCCUUGCCGAUGCCGUGAAUGCGACCGUCGCGCAGCCCGAUAUCGGCCUUGUAGAUGCCCGAAUGGUCAAGAAUCAGCGCAUUUGUGAUGACGGUGUCCAUGGCGCCAUCGGCGCGGCUGGCCUGACUUUGCCCCAUGCCGUCGCGGAU